rnacentral:lncRNA from 1 species
UAGGAUUUACAGGGGCACAUGUCUGUAUGCUUCACACACCCAUGUGGGCGACUAUGUGGCCCUAAACUUCACACGAUUUUCUAUCAGUUCACUUGGUAAAGAAUACACUUUUCACUGCGGGUUCGAUUGACAUUCGUCACGCUUGAUUCUGAUCUGAUUCACCUAGAUUCGGUCCUUCAAAUGACAUUUACUCAUGAAUUAAUGGUUGGUAUCAAAAUUUCACAAGACUAAUAAAAGAUUUGGCAAGAUUUCAAGUAAAUUGAUUAAUCGAACCUAAAGAUUAACAUUGUACAUUAAUAUUACGGAAAUACAAGAUUUAAUCCUUGAUAAGGAACGCACUUACCAAUUCAUGGCAAAGGUAAUAGAUGCUAUUUGACAAUCACUUUAAAACCGUUUAAGAAAACAAAGAAACGGGGAUUGAUUUGAUUGGGAAAGAAAAAUAAUCAAUAGUUCAAAGGUUAAAAUAUGAUGCAAGUAUGAGAGAAAAGAAAAAGAAAAUAAAAAAGAAAGAAAAGAAAUAGAAGAAGAAGAGGAAUUUUACUAAAAUUUGAAAAGAGGCAAACUAAUCCAAAUGGGAAAAACUAACUAAAUAGCUAGGGUUUGUAAACCCUAGGGGCGGCAAGGGAAACUUACCCUACCUUGCCGAAAUUAAAAGAAAAUGAAAUGGGAAGGAGGGGCUCAAACCUAAGUUCUCUAGGGAAGGAAGCUAGCACUUAACCAUUAGGUCUGAAGCCUAUUUCUUAUUUAGUCAUUUCGUCAAACCCUAUAUAUUUCGGGGCAUGACAGAAAUUUAUACACACAAAUUCUGAGUUGAAAGUCGAUCUGACAAUUUAGAGUCAAAAUUAUUGAUAAUUUCAAAUGAAAAGUUGAAGCCUCUAGAAAUUUUUGGAAUACAAAAAAAAAUCUCAUCUAAUUCUUAUAUCUGGUUUGAGUUUUGAUUCAAGGGUUGUUUGACUUUAUCUUAGAUGAGUAUGAAUUACUUCAAGUGUCGUGCAGACUUGCUCUUGCAUGGGGUUGGAUUGCCUUUGUUUAGUUUAUUUGGAUCAAAAGGUGACUUUCUUCAAAAACGACUUUUGUCUUCCUCUCCAUGAUUGAACUGGAUUGGGAGGUGGCUUUUUUCCAGAAUUAGUGCGGCGUUCUUCAAAAUUUCUUCAAGUUCUUUGACUUCUUCAGAGAUUUCUGUAAAGACCUUUUGUGCUUCUUAAAC